rnacentral:lncRNA from 1 species
UUCCGGGAAGGAGAGCGGAGCAUUUGCCUGUUAGGGUUGAUUGACCGCGUCCCAAAUUUACGAGUCCGAAGCAGAGUGGAGUUGUUUUUCACGUUUGUUUAACAUUUUAGAGAUUACAGUGCGCUUUUACAAACGCUAGAUCCUUACAAAAACCCUAUGAGGUAGGAAUUAUUGUCUUGCGUUUUGUAGGUGAGAAAAUUGCCCGCAGUGACCAGCCCCAAAUUUUUACACUUAGACUCAGGGAUGGAGCUUGAAUCCAAGUCCUGGUUCAAGUCCGAGUUUCUUCUGCUACACGGUAGCUGAAAAGUACUAAUUCUUAAUCAUAUGUUGUGUACUUAUUUACAAUUUCAUUGUACUUUUUUCCAGCCCGACUUACCUCCUCCAUAUACUUGUUUGGGGGGGGGGGCUGUAAGCAAGUUCUAUAAUAAUUGUAAAAAAGUUAAUAGCCAGAGGAACUGGCAUCAAGUACUGACUACCAACAACACUCGUUCUCCAUUUCACAGCUCCAGUUCCCUUUCCUCUGGAUAGGAAGGUAAGAUACCCCCUCGGUGAAGGUCUGCCCAACUUGAAAUAUCUGAACUUAGUCCACUUGCUCAGGUAAUGUGGAGGAUCAGAGUAUUUGAAACAGUCCUCUGGUUUCCAUUUUAGCUCCAUAAACUUAGAUUUUCCUUUGAGGUAGCCAAGCCAACGGCAAAUAGAUAGAAAAGGAUCUUUCUGUCACUGUCUCCAACUUUCUACCUAAGAAUUCCCGGAAUCUUCAGAAUAAAAAGGCCAUUCGUUAUGACACCAUUUUCAGAAGGGCAGACAAACUCCCUGGAUUCAGAGCCUGUCUCUAUCAUUUAUUAGCUGUAUAAUCUUUUAGGCCAGUUAACCUAACACUACCAUGCCUUCUUUUUUGGCAUCUGUAAAAUGGGGUUGUUAUGAAGGUAACAUGUAAACUACUAAAUAGUAACCAGAAUGUUGCUUAAUAAAAUGUUAGUAUUGGCAUUACUACUUUUCCCAACUUUUCAUGUCUUCACGCUCACCUUGUACCAUGGAAAACAAUAAAUAAAUAUGUUGGUCUCUGCCUCCUGUUUCUGACACUGGGCUCCUGAAAAUCUUGUCAAUUCCCAAGUGAUAGGUGCAUUGGAAGCAUCUUUUGUUUUGUGAGGGGACUCUGGAUGGGUUCUUAGAUGUGGUCUGGUCUCCAGGUAGAUAAAGCCUGAUUAGAAGCUUGGAAUUUUCAGCCCCUCCUCCCAUUCUAUAGAGAGGGGAGAAAGGCCGGAAAUGGGGUCAAUUGAUCACACCUACAUGAGGAAGACUUAAUAAAAUCCCAGUAGUAUGGAGUUUGGAGAGCUUCCAGGCUGGUGAACCCAUCCACAUACCAGGAAGAUUACACACCCCAACUCCACUAGGCAGAUGCUCCUACACUCCCAGACUUUCCCUGUGUAUCUGUUCAUCUGGUUGUUCAGGUUCUUCAUCUUUAUCCUUUACCAUAUCCUUUAAUAAACGGAGUUCUGUGAGUUGUUCUAUCCAAUAAUCAAAUUGAAGGGGAGGAGGUUAUGGAAACCUCCAGUUUAUAGCCAUGUUGGACAAAAGUUGUGGGUAACCCAGGCACUUAAUUACUUGCAAUUGGCAUCUGAACGGGGGCAGUCUUGUGGGACUGAGCCCUUAACCUGUGGGAUCAGAUGCUGUCUCCAGGUGUUGUCUCCAGUUUGACAGAGUCAGAAUUGAGCUAAAUCGUAGGAGACCCAGCUAGUGUCACAGAAUUGCUUGGUGAGGGAAAAACCCACAUCUGGUUUUAGAAGCGUUGUGAGUGUGGCAGUAGUGUGAAAAUAAAGGAGAAACAGAAAUGAGACCAGGUUUUUCCCUUUACAUACUGUAACCAUACUGUUGAUUCUCUGAGCAAUUAGUACUUCUCAGUCUUUCUGUGCAUAAGUAACUUGUUUUAUCUGCCUAUAAUUUGCAGUUUCUUACAUAUUCUCCCAAUUGACUCAAAUAUUUUUUUCAAGAAUCUUGGAGUUCCUGUUGUGGCGCAGUGGCUAAUGAAUCCGAUUAGGAACCAUGAGGUUUCGGGUUCGAUCCCGGGCCUUGCUCCUAGACUGCAGACGUGGCUUGGAUCCCGCAUUGCUGUGGCUCUGACGUAGGCCGGCGGCAAUAGCUCCAAUUCAACCACUAGCCGGGGAACCUCCAUAUGCCAUGGGAGCGGCCCUAGAAAAGGC